rnacentral:rRNA from 1 species
AUGGCCAACGGCYGAACCAGCMACUUGCCGGAAUGAGAGYUAAUAUAAGAGAUUUAUUAACUUGCUUGACUAGGUCUUAUAAAGUUCUGGAUAAAGCUGAUAAUGACAACUUUAUAUCCAUAGGUCUCGACUAAAUCUUGUGCCAGCAGUCGCGGUAAGACAAGGGAGACGAGUGUUAUUCAUCUUGAACAGGUAUAUUGGGUACCUAGACUGUGUAUAUAGGCUUUUAUAGUACCUUAUACACUAGAGUUUAAUAUGUAGGAGGGAGAUGUCAGAAUUAUUAGUGUAGAGAUGAAAUCCUUUGAUACUAUUAGGACUGAUUAAGGCGAAGGCAAACCUUUAUGUAUAUGUACUUUAGCUAAAUAUCAUAAAUUAUAUAUAUAAUUUAUAGCUAAUAAGUUAAGUACUGAACUGACGUUGAGGGACGAAGGCUCAGAGAGUGAAGAGGAUUAGAUACCCCCGUAGCCUGGGCAGACAAUGAUGAGUGCCAUAGGUUGGCUCUAAGUUGAACUAUAAAUGAAAGUGGAAGCACUCCACCUCAAGAGUAAUGUGGCAACGCAGGAACUGAAAUCAUUAGACCGUUUCUGAAACCAGUAGUGAAGUAUGUUAUUUAAUUCGAUGAUCCGCGAAUAACCUUACCACAAUUUGAAUGUUCUAGUUUUUAUAUAGUUUAUAGUAUGGUUAAUUUAGGGUUUAUACUUAAUUAUAAUCAUUAUUUAAAAUUAUAUUCUYUAGAUCACAUGCGUUGCAUGGCUGUCUUCAGUUAAUGUCGUGAGAUUUGGUUAGGGAYGGUMAMAAMAUKKAMRCCCUUGUUUUAUUUAAUARAAUARKWCAGCUCUCCGCCUACAACUGGAUUGUAUAACAGGGASUAAGACAAGUCAUCAHGGCCUUAAUAUUGUGGGCKAUAGACGUGCCACAUGUGCCUUUACAAAGGGAUGCRAURAUGSSAAUUGGAUGGWGAUCCCGUAUAAUAGGAAAUAGUAU